CCAAAAUAUCAUGGCGGCCAUAUUAAUUAUUCAGAGGAACUUGUCUCAUAAUCGAUAAUCCUCGAUUAAUUUCACUAUAUUAUUCAAUUAUCUUUAUACCUCCGUCAAAAUUUUUCCUUAAAGAAAAAUUAAAAAAAUCCUUCCCACUAAUUAUAAAGUCAGGUCAAGGUGAAAUAAAAUUAGAGAAGAUUAGUUACCUAUUAAAAAUAUUAAAAGAAAAACACCCAAAAUUAAUUAGAAAAAGGAUUUGAAAGUAUUAAUUAAAUAAAAAUUAAAAAUGAAUUUAAUUAUUGGUGUACAUAUCGCCCGUCACCCUUAUCCAAAGAUAAGGUAAGUCGUAACACAGUUGAAAUAUUGGAAAAUGUUUCAAGAUAUACCUUUUAGCAAAUUAGCACUUCCUUAUAAAUGAAAA
rnacentral:rRNA from 1 species